rnacentral:rRNA from 1 species
GCUUACGGCCACACCACCCUGAGCGCGCCCGAUCUCGUCUGAUCUCGGAAGCUAAGCAGGUCGGCCUGGUUAGUACUUGGAUGGAGGACCGCCUGGGAAUACCAGGUGCCGUAAGCU